rnacentral:rRNA from 1 species
CAAAGGAAUUGACGGGACCCGCACAGCAGCGGAGCGUGUGGUUUAAUUCGUUGCUACACGAGAACCUUACCUGGGUUUGACAUGUAGGUUGUAGGGAACUGAAAGGGACCGACCUUCGGGAGCCUAUACAGGUGUUGCAUGGCUGUCGUCAGCUCGUGUCGUGAGAUGUUCGGUUAAGUCCGCUAACGAGCGCAACCCUCGUCGUAUGUUAUAUGUGUCAUACGAGACUGCCGGUAAAAGCCGGAGGAAGGUGAGGAUGAUGUCAAGUCAGCAUGACCUUUAUAUCCAGGGCUACACACACGCUACAAUGGUCUGUACAAUGGGUAGCCAAGCCGCGAGGCGGAGCCAAUCCUGAAAGCAGGCCUCAGUUCAGAUUGCAGUCUGCAACUCGACUGCAUGAAGCCGGAGUUGCUAGUAACCGCAGGUCAGCAAUACUGCGGUGAAUACGUUCCCGGGUCUU